GGAUGAGUCUACUACCAAGCAUACUGGGGAUUCAAUUUCUUUUGGAUCACACCGUGAGAGAAUGAAAAAAGAUUUGGGACGAAAUGUGGAUGAAUUUGAGGUUUUUGAACGAAUGCAUAAAAUAAAGCAAGGUAUUGGAGAGUUUGUGGAUAACAAAUCAGCUCGAGUUAGUGAACAAUAUAAAGAGAGACAAAAUGUUGAUGAUCAGUCUACUCGACCUUCAUUCAAUCUCAAAUCAUGGUGUGAUGUGGUGGGCGACCCAUGUAAGGGGAGGGUGUACGGAUUUGGACGCAAUCAACAUUUUAGAAGAUCAU